CUUACCAUGCAGUCGAACGGCAGCACGGGGGCAACCCUGGUGGCGAGUGGCGAACGGGUGAGUAAUACAUCGGAACGUGUCCUGUAGUGGGGGAUAGCCCGGCGAAAGCCGGAUUAAUACCGCAUACGCUCUACGGAGGAAAGGGGGGGAUCUCAGGACCUCCCGCUACAGGGGCGGCCGAUGGCAGAUUAGCUAGUUGGUGGGGUAAAGGCCUACCAAGGCGACGAUCUGUAGCUGGUCUGAGAGGACGACCAGCCACACUGGGACUGAGACACGGCCCAGACUCCUACGGGAGGCAGCAGUGGGGAAUUUUGGACAAUGGGCGAAAGCCUGAUCCAGCAAUGCCGCGUGUGUGAAGAAGGCCUUCGGGUUGUAAAGCACUUUUGUCCGGAAAGAAAACCUCCGCCCUAAUAUGGUGGGGGGAUGACGGUACCGGAAGAAUAAGCACCGGCUAACUACGUGCCAGCAGCCGCGGUAAUACGUAGGGUGCAAGCGUUAAUCGGAAUUACUGGGCGUAAAGCGUGCGCAGGCGGUCCGCUAAGACAGAUGUGAAAUCCCCGGGCUUAACCUGGGAACUGCAUUUGUGACUGGCGGGCUAGAGUAUGGCAGAGGGGGGUAGAAUUCCACGUGUAGCAGUGAAAUGCGUAGAGAUGUGGAGGAAUACCGAUGGCGAAGGCAGCCCCCUGGGCCAAUACUGACGCUCAUGCACGAAAGCGUGGGGAGCAAACAGGAUUAGAUACCCUGGUAGUCCACGCCCUAAACGAUGUCAACUAGUUGUUGGGGAUUCAUUUCCUUAGUAACGUAGCUAACGCGUGAAGUUGACCGCCUGGGGAGUACGGUCGCAAGAUUAAAACUCAAGAAAA
rnacentral:rRNA from 1 species